rnacentral:lncRNA from 1 species
CCUAAACGGUGAGCUAGAAGAGGAGGUGUAUAUGCAAAUACCUCCCGGGCUUGAAUCACAUGACACCUCAAACAUGGUAUGCAAACUCCAUAAAUCCCUCUAUGGCUUGCUCAACUCAGUCCGGGUCCUAUUAUCAUUGGCAGCAAAUCUAGAUUGGCCCCUACACCAAUUAGAUAUAAAGAAUGCCUUCCUAAACGGUGAGCUAGAAGAGGAGGUGUAUAUGCAAAUACCUCCCGGGCUUGAAUCACAUGACACCUCAAACAUGGUAUGCAAACUCCAUAAAUCCCUCUAUGGCUUGAAACAAUCUCCAAGAGCAUGGUUUGAUAGACUAACAAGAGUUGUCAGGGAAGAUGGCUUUGCCUAAUGCCAAACAAACCACACUAUGUUUGUUAAGCACUCUCCGGAGGGAAGAAUAGCCUUAUUUAUUGUCUAUGUUGAUGAUAUUGUUAUUACAGGAGAUGAUCAUGAUCAAAUCAGCCACCUCAAGAGUAUCUUAACCGAAGAAUUUGAAGUCAAAGAUUUGGGCCAACUCAAGUACUUUCUAGGAAUGGAAAUUGCUCGGACAAGGGAUGGUAUUUGUGUUUCUCAAAGGAAAUACACUUUGGAUUUACUCAAAGAAACAGGGAUGCUUGGAUGCAAAGUUGCCAAUACUCCGGUAGAACCCAUGAAACAAAGUGAAGAAAGUGUACCUGCUGAUAAGGAUAGAUAUCAAAGCUUAGUUGGAAAACUAAUCUAUCUAACUCACACUAGAAUGAUAUUGUUAUUACAGGAGAUGAUCAUGAUCAAAUCAGCCACCUCAAGAGUAUCUUAACCGAAGAAUUUGAAGUCAAAGAUUUGGGCCAACUCAAGUACUUUCUAGGAAUGGAAAUUGCUCGGACAAGGGAUGGUAUUCGUGUUUCUCAAAGGAAAUACACUUUGGAUUUACUCAAAGAAACAGGGAUGCUUGGAUGCAAAGUUGCCAAUACUCCGGUAGAACCCAUGAAACAAAGUGAAGAAGAAAGUGUACCUGCUGAUAAGGAUAGAUACCAAAGCUUAGUUGGAAAACUAAUCUAUCUAACUCACACUAGACCAGAUAUUGGUUUUGCUGUGAGCUUGGCUAGUCACUACAUGUCCAACCCAACUGAGACUCACAUGA